UAGAUGGUUAACAUUACUCCUGUCACAAGAGUUUCCUCUUCCAGGUAGACAAAUAUAACCCUUGCCUUUAGAUGGUAAACAUUACUCCUGUCACAAGAGUUUCCUCUUCCAGGUAGACAAAUAUAACCCUUGCCUUUAGAUGGUAAACAUUACUCCUGUC